ensembl:lncRNA
CCUGGUUUAGUAACAUACUUUCACUGAGCUGUCAUCUUCAGAAGCUGUGUUUAAAACUGUCUGCAGGUGUUAAGCGUCAUGUUACCAAUCAUCUGAAGCUGUCAAACUGACUGCUUUCGCCACCCAGUGGAGCGGAUGGAAACUUACACUCCAGUUUCUAGUUUUAGUUGCAGACUAGCUCUGAGAUUUAAACUUCAUUUAUUUUACAACAAAAGAUAUGAUUUUGUCAUGGUCUCGGUCAGCAGAGUAUUCUACUAGUUUAGAUAAACGAACCGGAUCAGCUUUCAACUGAUGGGGUAAGACAGAUGAAAUGUUGUGCUGAACUCAAAAGCACAUGGUCAAAGUGUAAACAUAAAAUACAGAACAAAGUUUCUCUGAGACUCUUAGAUUGGUAAAGCAGAUGUGUAUUAGUUAUUUAAAUGAAUGUGUAUCGUGUGUUCACAGUUCAACAAUGAUUUUAAUGUGCUUGUGUGUCGUUGUUUACAAACUCAAGUAGCUUUUAGUAUAAAACUUGAUUGGAAGACAGGGCAGAUUUGGACAAAUUGUUUUAAAGCCUGUAUCAAAAUAUCUGUUGACACAUUUAAUCUAUAAGCUCAACUGAUAUCAUGAUGGUAAUAGUGUCUCAUGGCAACUUUUUAUUAAUAUUUAUAAGCAGAUGUAGGAGAUCAGAUUCACCAUCUCCCCUUGAGAAGCAUCUGGGCAGUGAGUUUGAACAGGUGAAACAAUACAGUAGUAUUUCUUUAAUGAUUAAAUCUAAUGUGUGCUUGAAAGAUGGUGCUUCUUAAAGACCAUAUAUGAUAUUUUUCAUUUACGAUAGACAUUUUGCAGAAAAUAAACACACAAGUUAAAAGCAGAUUCUUAUAACCAACAGAUAAAUAUUAAUUGAAUUUAUAUGGUCUGUAUCAUGUGAUUCCAGACUCCAUAAAACCCUUUUGUUUAAAAUACAGCAGCAUCUGAAUUACUUUUCUCUCAUUUCACUUUCCUCUCACAGGAAGCUCUUAGUAAGGAUGAGGAGGAUGUGAAGCUCUGAGCUCUGGAUGAUCAUGAGGUUAUAGAUGGAGGACUGAGACUUUGGCUUCUACAGACCUACAGACACAGAUAUCACAUUUUAGUUCACGUUAAACCAUGGACGGAUUGAUCACAGAUCAUGUAUUGGUUAAUUUGAUAAAUGAUCAUUAAAAAAAAAUACCGUUAACAUAUGUAAUCUAUGAACUGCUGACUGAUAAAACAACUUAACAUUAAUAUUGUGUCUAAUGUAAGCUUUUUUUACUAACAUGCAUGAGAUCAGAUCAGUGUGUCAGCUCUCUCUUGUGGACAAUAAGUGUAUCUGCAUUAAUAAAAUAAUACAGCAGCAGGAGGAAAAGGCAGUUAUGUCUAAUCCUGCUCCUGUUGAGCCACUUUCCUGAGUUUAACUCCAACCUGAUUAAAAACACAUGGAACAGCUAAUCAAGGUCUUUAGGAAUACUAGAAACUUACAGGUAGGUUUACUGGGUUCUAUGUUUCUAAUUCAUAUAAAACUUGAUUUCAAUAAACAAAUGAUGCUGUUCAAAAGUUGUGUUGGUGUUAUCAGUUUAAUGCAUUUAAACACAAGACAGACUUAAACACAUUUGAAAGACUUUAGUUAAUAAAUAGAUUGUAUUUUUUUUUCCCGCAACAGUUUAUUUGGUACAAUAUUUCACUCAUUACUCAUCAAACAGAUUUAAUAUAAGCAUAUUCCCCUGCAACAUCUCAUAACAAACACAGAAUCUUUCUAGUCCUGCUAUGAGGCUUAAGCUCAGAAUGAGUUGAUCAAGCUGAGAUGAGCACUGAUGAAUCCUGUGGAUAAUGAAUUGUUUUUAUCCAAAAGAAAUUUAAUCGUAACCAAUUUUUUUAGUGGUUAGCUGUGGUAUCUCUAGUACAUAUAAAAGAGCUGUUGGCUCACGGAGACGAAAGCAAGAUGACCCAUAAAAAAAUAAAUACAUUUACACAAUUAUUUUCAUAUUUCUAUGUGACAAAAAUGAGCUCUUAAAGCUCAGUGGAUUGAGCCUUGUGUUUUCACAUGUGCUGAAAUCCAACUACAAAAAAAAAAAACCUGAUGAUGUGGUUUAAAUGCAGGUCUUUGAAGAACAAAACUACAACAGAGGUAAAUUCAAAUCUCAUAAAUGCAAUAAUCUCUUUCUGUUUUAACAAUGUAAAUUUACAAGACACAAAAUCACAAAUCUGUGGCACAGAGGUUAAUCAUUUGCCUUAAAAGUCCUCAAUAUCACGAUCAAAUCAUAGUUGAAAUCCACAGAGUCAGUGUCUCAGAAGAUUAAAAAUGUUACUUGUGUUAAACUGUAGUAGUAUUAAUGCUGUGUCUGUAGGAGGUAAAGCGUUGUUUUUUUAAUCUUGGAGGCCUGAGCUCAAAUCUCAAUAUUACUUGUGUUAACUUGCAGCUCUCAAUUAAUGCUGUAGCUAAACAUAACAUCUAAAUGACCCCUGAAACAAACUUUUGCAACAAACACCCUCAGCUCUGUGGCUUAGUGGUUGAGCGUUUGCUUCCCAAACACAGUGCUUCCCACUAAGCCUGUCAUUAAAUCCAACAAAGUGCCCCAGACAACUGCCCUCAUUGUGAAAGCCACGAUGGCACUAGUGGUUAAACACAUUGGUUGAGAACAAGGUUAUGGUAAAGGCUUGGGUUCAAAUCCUGCUCCAGCAUGUUUAAACUUUCACUGGUUUAUGUCACAGGUGAACGGUGAAAUAUAAGUUCUUUUACAUGUUCACACUAGAGAUCUGUGGCUCACAGGUAAGAGUACUGCCUCAUGGUUCAGAGGUUGCUGGUUCGAUCCCAGCCAGAUCUCCGCGAUAUGAGUGAGUGUUGUGUGAAUGAAGGGAUGGGGACGAUUCGGGUCCCCCCCGAGCCCCGGCACCAUGUCCAGCAGGGGUUAUACUUCUUGACAGAAAAAAAAUAAAAUUUUGCUGUAUAAAUUUUCAGCUCCGCCGUCCCUUCCCCACCUGUUUAGGUUACC